rnacentral:lncRNA from 1 species
UUGCCUUCUGCCAUGAGUUGGGCGUUGAGCCUUCCCUCGACUUCUUCUUCACCGUGUACAAGAUCGUCCAAUCCAGAGAGAAGGGGUUCAAAGCCCUCAGCAAACACUCUCCGAAGUCGGGAGAAAAGUUCGAGAGACGUUCGUUGGUGAACACUCCUUCGAGCAAUAGGGGAUGGCACGAGAAAUGGUUCUUCGUCAAAGGUCCUGAAAUCUCUUUUUUACCGAACUGGGCCACUGACGAGAAGAUCUCUGCUGACUUCGGAGAUAUUUCUGAAGAACGGGAAGUUGAGAUGAUGGAGCUUUUUGAUAAUUUUC